rnacentral:rRNA from 1 species
GAUGAACGCUAGCUACAGGCUUAACACAUGCAAGUCGAGGGGAAACGACAGGGGAAGCUUGCUUCCUUUGGGCGUCGACCGGCGCACGGGUGAGUAACGCGUAUCCAACCUGCCCACCACUUGGGGAUAACCUUGCGAAAGUAAGACUAAUACCCAAUGAUAUCCCACGAAGGCAUCCGAAUGGGAUUAAAGAUUUAUCGGUGAUGGAUGGGGAUGCGUCUGAUUAGCUUGUUGGCGGGGUAACGGCCCACCAAGGCGACGAUCAGUAGGGGUUCUGAGAGGAAGGUCCCCCACAUUGGAACUGAGACACGGUCCAAACUCCUACGGGAGGCAGCAGUGAGGAAUAUUGGUCAAUGGGCGAGAGCCUGAACCAGCCAAGUAGCGUGCAGGAAGACGGCCCUAUGGGUUGUAAACUGCUUUUAUAGGGGAAUAAAGUGAGCCACGUGUGGUUUUUGCAUGUACCCUAUGAAUAAGGACCGGCUAAUUCCGUG